rnacentral:lncRNA from 1 species
ACAGUUUUUAAUAGUAUAAGAAAUGAUAAAGAAAAAAGGAACAACAUGCAGCAGUCAGGUGUAUAUAAAAUUCUCAUCAAUAUCGAAGAUACAAACCAAAAUUUGGCAUAUAUAGGAGUUACGAAAAGAGCAUUGCAACAAAGAAUACAAGAACAUAAAAAAGAUGUGAAAACAGGAACAACUACCACAGCCAUUGCCGAAGCAGCAUAUGCUCACCAAAUAAAUAUAGACCUGGAAGGAAGCAAAAAUCAUAAAACCUGUCCUAAAACAAUCUCAGGCAUUAUUCAUUGAAAGUCUACAAAUAAUAAAAGAGCAAACAAAUGGUCCAAUUCUAAACGAAAAAAUUUCAGGAGAGAUCCCAGAUGCAUGGAAAUACUUAAUCCAAAAAAAUGAAGC